GAUGUUCUAACGUGGACCCGUAAUCCGGGUUGCGGACAGUGUCUGGUGGGUAGUUUGACUGGGGCGGUCUCCUCCUAAAGAGUAACGGAGGAGCACGAAGGUUGGCUAAUCCUGGUCGGACAUCAGGAGGUUAGUGCAAUGGCAUAAGCCAGCUUGACUGCGAGCGUGACGGCGCGAGCAGGUGCGAAAGCAGGUCAUAGUGAUCCGGUGGUUCUGAAUGGAAGGGCCAUCGCUCAACGGAUAAAAGGUACUCCGGGGAUAACAGGCUGAUACCGCCCAAGAGUUCAUAUCGACGGCGGUGUUUGGCACCUCGAUGUCGGCUCAUCACAUCCUGGGGCUGAAGUAGGUCCCAAGGGUAUGGCUGUUCGCCAUUUAAAGUGGUACGCGAGCUGGGUUUAGAACGUCGUGAGACAGUUCGGUCCCUAUCUGCCGUGGGCGCUGGAGAACUGAGGG
rnacentral:rRNA from 1 species